rnacentral:rRNA from 1 species
AAAGCUCAAAUUUAAAAUCUGGCAGUCUUUGGCUGUCCGAGUUGUAAUUUAGAGAAGUGUUACCCGCGUCGGACCGUGUAUAAGUCUCCUGGAAUGGAGCGUCAUAGAGGGUGAGAAUCCCGUCUUUGACACGGACUACCAAGGCUUUGUGGUGCGCUCUCAAAGAGUCGUGUUGUUUGGGAAUGCAGCACUAAAUGGGUGGUAAAUUCCAUCUAAAGCUAAAUAUUGGCGAGAGACCGAUAGCGAA